GAAAAAGUCUUUUUAUCUUGAAAGAUCUGGACUCCUUCUGCCUUCUGAGCAUCUGUAAGAUGGAGAUACUAAUAGGGCCUUCCCUAUAGAGAUAUUUUGAAGAUUAAAUGAGAGACCUCAUGGAAAGCUGUUAGCACAGAGCUGACUCCCUCUGAAUGAUGAUCAGUGAGGCCCUGCAAGACAGCCUCCCGAGGCCGAGCCACCGAGCUACAGGACGAAGAUGAUCUUUCUGGGCUCCUGAUGUCCAGACCCUGUCUUGUCUUUCAGCAUGUUCAGAAUAC
rnacentral:lncRNA from 1 species